GAUGAACGCUGGCGGCGUGCCUAACACAUGCAAGUCGAACGAAAAGAUGAUGAGCUUGCUCCCCUGACGUUAGCGGCCGACGGGAGAGUAACACGUGUAUAACCUACCUAUCUUACGGGGAUAAUAACGCGAAACAGGAUCUAAUACCGAAGAAUAUAUUGCACCGCAGUGUGCAAUGGUUAAAGUCGGUUUUUGUGACAGUAAUAGCUGAAUCCGCGCCGCAUCGGCUAGUUGGUAAGGUAACGGCUUACCAAGGCAACGAUGCGUACCCGAUCUGAGAGGGUGAUCGGCUACACUGGAAGUGAGACAGGUUCCAGACUCCUACGGGAGGAAGCAGUAGGGAAUCUUACGCAAUGGGGGAAAGCUUGACGCAGCAAAGCCGCGUGAGUGAUGAAGGUCUUCGGAUCGUAAAGCUCUGUUAUUAGGAAAGAACAAAUGUGGAAUUAAACGUGAUGGUAUUGACGGUACCUAAUGAAAAAGCCCCGGCUAACUACGUG
rnacentral:rRNA from 1 species